rnacentral:lncRNA from 1 species
UGGCAGUCCCUGCCUACGCCCCCCCACUCCUGGAGGAAUCAGCCUCGGAGAGGAUUCCUGUGAGAGAUUGGUUAUGUGAAAAGGGACAUAUAGAUUCGGGAUAUACAGAUUCUUUGCAGCUUACUGAUCUGAGAAGCUGGCUACGUGAGAACGGGCACAUAGACCCUUGCAGCUAGCUGAGCAAGGUCUCAUAAGACAAUGCACCACACAUCCUGUGUUAACAACUGAAGUUGCAGAAUAUUACAUGUAUCUUGCUCAGUAACUGAACCACCAUUGAGUCUUACUGCUGAACUAUGGGUUUAUUUGCAGAGCCAGCAAGGUUAGGUUUUGGCAGCAAAACAAUGGACAUCUGUGGUUAGAAGGCCAGGGAAAAAAGCAGAACUGCUGACCACAAAAGGGGGACUAAGGAGGGGUUUUAGGAUCAGCUUAGUCGACGUGAACCACUUAGAAUGCGCCUUUACGAAUAUGCAUGUAGCCUAUUAUUGUUAGUAUAUAAGGAGUUCUGGUACAAUCAAUAAAUCAGAUUCCUGCUGAUCACUCAUAUUGAGCGUCUGGGUUUUCCCUCUAUCGUGACAUUCUGGCGCCCGAACAGAGGACGGAAAAAGGGACCGUAGAGCCGGAUAGCCUACAUCCGUCAACCUGCGGGGAAUGGGGACCGUAGAGUCGGACAACCUGCAGCCACGGCACGAUGGAGAGUCUGCGUCGGUCCCGUAAGCAGCUCGGGAGGCUGCAGAGGUGGUGAAUAGUCCACACCUCCGAGCUCAGGAGAACCUACAGAGGAGUCCUGCUGGCCACGCACCGCCGGGGUCUUGCAAAGGCUGCAACAGCACGCUGAUGUUUAGGUCCGCAGUGGAUACCCAGCCGCUGGGUCAAACCGACACCGCUCAAGCCUGGAGCCUCCACAAUACCACCUUCCAGAGCUGAGUCUGCUUCGGCUACAUCUAGUAGCUGAUCCGGUGAUCGCACAUCUUGCAAACAUCAUGCCUACCCGAUUUAGGCACUUUGAAUCCUGGGAGGAAGCAGAACAGCUAGUGGACGCCCUUGAACAGUAUUAUCCAGGGAAACUUAAUUGUCGAACCUGUGGUGUUUGCAGGAAGCCAGGGCAUUUUGCAUGGUUUCUUCUCCGAUGUGGAGGUUGUAACAAAGAGUGGAUUAUUCCCAUGAGCUCUCCUGCACCAGUGGAAAGGAAAGGAUAGUUGUGCCAAUUCAGGCCAUUGGUGGCCGACCUAUCCUGGACUUCCCUGACCAGCUGGACUUCCCAGUCUGUAUAGUCAAACGCAGCAGUGAGAAGACUGCUGGAAAACACUGGAAACCUGGAAGCUCAUUAGGAGAUGAGCACCAAGAGGUGAGGCAGCUCAUCUAUUCUUAUGCAAAACACCUUUGGGUGAAAACAGAGUUGGGAAAGAGUAACAAAAGGAAGCAGAGCAUUGGAGCUGCUGCCCUGCAGCCCUGGCUGGAAGUGAGCAGGAUGGGUGGCAUCUGCUCUUG